rnacentral:lncRNA from 1 species
UUGCCCAGCGUUCUUUAUUAAAAAAACAGCUUUUAUAGUACACGCUGUGGUUACGUCAUUUUUCUUUCAGAGGAUUAUUACUUUUUAAAAGCUUCUUAAAAACCUUCUUAAAUUCCCAGUUAAAGCUGUUACAUUCUAACCCAGUCUCAGAGCUGAUUGGCUCAAAACCUUUGUGGGCCAGUAAUGCCACAUUACCCCGGAGGGGCGGGCAGCGCGGGGGUCAGGGAGCUGCCAAAGCCAGCCCUCCUACUGGCCAGCACGCACAUUCCAGGGGAUAAAUAGGAUUAAGGGCUCUAAAGAGGAUUCCCAGCCCUCCUGCAAAGGAGGAUCAAACACUCUGGUCUAGCUCUGGAACAAAAAUAAGCCCCAGAGAAGGAGAAAGUGCCUGUUUAAACACCAGGUGGCCCCACCCCAAGCCUCCGCUCUUCCUCUCUCCCCCACCUCUGGAUGGCUGGGGAGAGCCCCUUUCCGCAGGCAAGUGUGCGCACUGGAUCCAAGUCCGUGAGAGUGGGUUCAACCCACCCUUUUUGGUUUCCUAAAUAGGGUCAGCCCCUGAGCAGCAGUGGGAGGUCAUGACCUCAAAUCUCUUCUAGCUGCUUUUGGGGACGAGUGGAUAAACUCUGUUAGGAAGCGCUGUAGCGCGUCUUAGAGAAAGCCCUUUGUAUGAACUGCUCUCAGGACACUCUCCUAAAUUUAGGUCCUGAAAGAUUAAGGUAAUAAAAACUGCUGACAUUUGAUUGCAAUUUUUCUUGUCCAGGAAACAGACCAACCACAUAGAACCAAAAAGCGCCCCUCUCCAAACUUCACCCCACCCCACCCACCUUUUCAAACUGUCCCGCGAGGAGAGGGGAUGACACUGGCAGGGGUGGGCACCAAACUCGGACUCCCUAUAAAGAUGCCCCAACAGCACACGUGUUAAUUCAUUAACUCGGAGGGAUCUGGGGUCACUGUGACGGUUUUCUACUAAUAGGGAAUAAAGCUCCUGCGGACGUUAGCGGUAAUGCCCUGACGGCCGGCGCAAAGUUAACUCCUCCCGGGCCAGCAAGUGGAAACCGUAUCCUGCCCAGGCAGAUGUGCACUGGAAACGCGCGUGUCCCCAUGCACACACGGGGUUUUAGGACCACUCCCCUUGCACAGGCCAGACCCCACACCCAUCUCUAGUCUUUUCUCCGGGGAGGGUGCGGUGGCAGCAGGCGGCCGUCGGAUGUCCAUCAGCUCAGCUUCGCCACGCACACGGCUAAGGCCACAGCCGCCAGCAGCACGGCGCCGAAAAGGAUGGCGGCCAGGGCCUUCCUGGGGUCGCAACCCCUCCGCGCUCCUCCACGGACACGACCGAGGAGGGGCCGGCGCUGACUGUGGACAGGAGCUCGGCGCCCGCCGCCUGCCGGGCUUGCACGGUCCAGCGGGGCACGUUGACCUUCAUCUCCAUGUUGUCGAUCAUCUCGCCCACCUGAAGGACCUCGCGCUCCAGCUCCAGCAGAUCCGCGACGUCGAAGUCGCCCUCCGCCUCGAGCCGCAGGCUGCGGGUGCUCAGCGCGCGCGCCGCCACACUGGAGGAGGCGCCGGCUACACCUGUGCGCACCAGCGGCCGCCGAGGCGCGUGCAGCGGAACGCGGCACCCAGCUCCAACGCGCGUCGCAUAUCCGCUUCCAGCAGGUCCAGGCAGCCCGAGAAGGCCACCCACAGACGCUCGAACUCCGCGCGCUCGUCGGCGGCCAGGCCCCGGUCGCGCAGCACGGCAGUCAGCCGGGCGCAGGUGGACACCGCCAGCUCCUGCGCCUUUUGGCGCGUCUUUUGCAGCUCCUGCCGCAGGUUCUGCGAGUCCGCCGAGCCGCCGACGGUCAGCACCAGGUGGUGGUAGCACGCAGUCGUCUUGUUGAGCCCAUCUAGCAACGCCUUGCACUCCUCCCUCGCCAUUGCGGUGCGCUCCGGCUGGGCCCUGCCGCCUCAGCGCGGCAGGACGCGGCUAGCCCCGUUCCGGCCUCGGUCCGCGCGGCACGAACGCUCCUCAUGGUCCGUGACUCGCUCGGCGCUGCCGCCAACGUCCGAGGAGCCCGCCCGGGACCCUCGACGUGCGCCUCUGCGGACGGGGCGCGGAGCGGGAGCCCCGUUAGCGGUCCCCAGCUCCCUCGUCCAUCCUCCCAGGCGCACUCCCAAUCACACGCUGUAUCUCUUCGCCGCCCUGGCCUCCACGGUGGCUCCCUGGGAAGCUGAGGGUGCGGUCCCCAUCCUCCGUGGGUGCCAACCCCGGGGCGAGCAGGAUGCAGAGCCGCCUGCUCCGUCUUAGGCGCUGCCAAGGGCGGCCGGGUAGGGUUUCCUAGGACCCGCCCACCCCGCCUGUCCGAGCCGAAGCUGCCACCCCCUGGAUCAGGGGUAGGCGGGGCUCCGCGCGGGGAGGUCACGUGUGGGUCGCCCAUUCCUCCCUCCCUUCACCCCAUCCGAGUUCUGGAAUGUUAGCGCUCGAGAGAUAAAACACGUCCUAUUUUACGGAUGGGGAAACUGAGGCCCAGGUAAAAAGCGGGCCAGGCUCCCGCGGAGUUUUUACCAGUGAGGGGACUAGAACCCGACUAUACUGACUCCCGGACCCUUUCGGCGACAGGACGUGGGGUGCCUCGCAAGACUGGGCACCUCCGUGCCCCAAAGCGAGCAGUGACUGGCAAUCCGAGGGGCUGGGCGCUGCCGGGGUCGGGUGUCCCAGGCGCAUCGCGAUCUGCUAGUCAGUGCUUCCGAGCGUGUACCCCACCUCU